rnacentral:rRNA from 1 species
UACGUAGGGGGCGAGCGUUGUUCGGAAUUAUUGGGCGUAAAGCGCGUGUAGGCGGUUCGGUAAGGCGGAUGUGAAAACCCAGGGCUCAACCCUGGGCCUGCAUUCGAUACGGGCAGACUAGAGUACGGCAGGGGAGACUGGAAUUCCUGGUGUAGCGGUGAAAUGCGCAGAUAUCAGGAGGAACACCGGUGGCGAAGGCGGGUCUCUGGGCCGUAACUGACGCUGAGGAGCGAAAGCGUGGGGAGCGAACAGG